rnacentral:lncRNA from 1 species
CACCACAUCCAUCUCUCUCGUUCUCACUGAGAAAACAGUUGUUGUCACUGAGCAAAAUCGAAGGUUCUCCUCUUCAAUUUAAGUGAAAUUUCUAUUUCAAAUGUUUAGAUCGAUCCUACGUAAUUCUCUAUUGUUCUUAAGAAUUUGAGAAAUGACCGGAAAAAUCCCUGCCGGAGAAAAUUUCAAUAAAAUGGGGGAUUUUUUCUGUGAACACGGUUCGCAGACUCAUUCAAAUCGCUGAGAAUAAUAUCAAUCUGCUUGAAGCCAAACGCAGAGAGAUACUAAUUGGAAAAAUUGCUAUAGCUGAACACCAUAUCAUCACUGAUCUGGAAAUCCUCAUCAAAAACGAACAAGUUAUAAAGAAAAUUGUGGAAGAUAUUUUGAUGAAGCUUAUUGGAGAUCAGCAACGUCAAGGUAUAUCUGUCUCGCGUAUUUUUUGUUGAGUAUAUUCGUGUAUGUCUAAAUACUUCGUUCGACCAGCCUAUAUUUGAUGUGUUAAUGAUCUUCAGAUCUGUUGUUUAACCUUCUUCAAGUUAUUACUAGUAUAUAUGUCACUAGAGGCGUCUUCAUAUUGCGCGGUAACUUAAUCUAUCAUUCAAUCUUUGUAGUGUGCUAGUUAAUCUGAACGACCUGCUUCACACCUAGUUAGUAUAUGUUAUACAUCCCUAAAAUCUAAUACUAUAUUUAUACACACAAUAUAUUUAUACUAUAUUGAUAGAAUGAUUAGUUUUCUUUAUCAAUUUCGGAUGCAGUAAAGAAGGAUGCAGAAACAACGACUGAUGAGAAAUCUAAGAAAGACUGUUGGGACUGAAGAGUUGAAGGAAGGUAAAGUAGAAGAUAUGAUGCUGAUACAAAAGGAGAAACGGAGAGCUCAUACUGUUGGUAUGGUGGUCCUUUAACAAGUUGUUUGUGAUAUAAAUAAAUAGUUGUUGGCAGGAUAAUGAUAUGAGUUGAGCUUACACAAAGAAAUAAGAAUUUAUAUAGGGGGGACCCAACUUGUUAGGAAUGAGGCUUAGUUAUUUUUGUAGAGAACAUUUGUACUCUUUAUUUUUAAUUAAAUAGAGAGGCAUUAGAGCUGACGUUGAGGCUG